rnacentral:RNase_P_RNA from 1 species
CGGAUAUAAAAGAUGACCGCGCGACGCAGGUUGAUGACAGCCUUUCGUCGUGAGGCAAAGUCCGGGCUCCGCCGGAAAUGAUGCCGGGUAAUGACCGGGGGGCAGGUUAAACUGCCUACAGAAAGUACUACAGAAAACAACCGCCUUGCACAUUUGUGCGGGUAAGGGUGAAAAGGCAGGGUAAGAGCCUACCGCACCGCUGGCAACAGGGGUGGCAAAAGCAAACCUCAUCAGGAGCAAGAUUAUGCAGCGGCUUGGCAUUCCGGCCUUAUGCCGCGGGUAAAUCGCUGGAGCCGUCAGGCAACUGCCGGUGCAGAUAGAUGGCCAUCUAGUCCAAAACCCGGCUUAUUUUUAUAUCCUUUUU